AUCACAAACGCCUGCUUCAUCCUGAUGUGUUUGGCUGUGAUGACUUGAGCAGGCCCUGUUUUCCACACUGAAACACAGUGAGCUCACGCUGUCCCCAUCACAGGAGCCUGAGCCUGGGAGGGCACAGUGUGCAUUUCAUGUGGACUUUUCAUGUGUGUUUACUUUAUCUACAAAUGAAUAGGGAUGGAGACUGAAGGGAAGCUCAGAUACCAAACACUUGCCAGAGGCCUGAGUUUAGUUUUGUCGUAUCUAUUAGUGGGGCCUUUAAGUUUUUCCUUUGUAUUUGUCAGUGUAUGUGUUUAUGGGGAAGGGCAGAAAGAACAUCGAAUUCUUCCCUUCAGAUUUCUGGGAGAAAAAAAUGGCAGAAUUUCACAGGGUUUCUUUCCCCUCUCAGGAAGCUGGACAUGAAAGGAUGUGAGCUGGUGGAAAAGAAGCACCUAUUAGCAGUAGAGCAGAAGUUGAAAUUGGCUGAAGAAGAGAUACAAAUGUACAAGAGAAGAGUUGAAGAAUUGCAACAGGAAAUGCAGGAAACAGAGGACAGCUUCAAAUACCGGAUCGCUCUUCUUGAGGAGGUGGCUCAAGACAACUGGGUAAGGAUGUGUGUCCUUCCUUACCUUUGUGCAUAGUCGGCCACAACUGAAUGUGGAUGUGCUUCCCCCCCCCCGCAGCUCUGGGCUCUGGACCAGGGGAGGGCAACGAGAGAGAUGAGAUGGGAGGUUGCCUACUUGAAACAAAGAUUGGAAGAAAUCUGCAGACAGAGGCAGGCAGAGGAAUAUACGAGGCAGCGACCCAUCUCAAGAGGACCAUACAGGUUGCAUCCUCCACUGAGAGGUAAGGAGCACACUGUGACAAGCAGCUGCUUCAUUUCUGCUGCAAAAGCUGCCGAAUGGGCAGUUGUUAGGUUUCCUGGACACCAUGCCAUACACUCGCCGCAGAGAACAGGUUCUCAGCUGGUUGACAAGAUGCUGUUUUCUUCACAUGCCACCAGCCAGCAGGGCUCUGUUUCCUGUGCACAGUGGAGCUCAUGCCCCUCCAGGGACUGUGGGCCGCCCUGCAGCCUCUUGGUAGGUUGGUUUGGUUG